rnacentral:tRNA from 1 species
GGCCCCGUCGUCUAGCGGUCUAGGACGCCGGCCUCUCAAGCCGGUAACGCCGGUUCGAAUCCGGUCGGGGCUGCCA